GCACAUUCUAGAAUAUCAGCAGAAGCAGCUUCCUGCUUUCCUCUGCAGGCAGGCCCACCUCCACCCCACAGCUCAGACAGAGGUGUGGGCUCCAGGAAUCCUUCUGUACCAGGGUUCGGAAAAGGAAUCACCCAAGGGACCCAGCGUUUCACUCAUCUUUCCACCCUUAGUGCCGGGAAGAAAAUGAACCCUCAGAAUAACAUCUGCUAAGGAAAGACCAGACCACACGCUCAUCUUUCUAGAGCCAGGAGGAAGGAGCCUCUGACAUGGCCCCUGAACAAAAGCAGCCGGGCCACACCUAACAGGCAGGGUGGGAGGGGGAGGCAUGGGGAGCAGCCGGGAGGGAUGAGAGGCGGGAGACAUGGGCUGGUGUCCUCUGCCCUCCAGCAUCUUCCUGCACAGCCCUCUGGGCUGGCUUCCACCUCCCAGGCUGCGGUGAGCCAUUCAAAUAUUUAUCCUUGUGUCAUCUUCUGAAAGGGGAGAGAAGAGAAAGAGGGAGGGAGGAGGAAAAAACCCGAGUUUCUCAUUUGAAAGUUAAUUAGUCUAAUUAGGUCUAAUUAAGAGCCCCCAACACAAUGCAGUGCACAAAUGAAGUGCCGGCUCCUCAUUUCCUUUGGUUCUCAUUUUAGACUGAGCUGGGAAAGCCUGGGAAGGAGGGGGUGCCUGGGGAGGCCGCAGGAGGGCACAGCGGGGUCCCAUCCCUCUGGGGGACAGGUGGCGGGGGCCCCUGGGCAGAGCUGGCAGGUGCACAUCCCGAUUCCUCCAUGCCAGCCAUCCCGGGAGGUGACGGGAUGAACUUUUAAAUCCCAUUCUCAGUGCUCUCCUGUUUUCUGGCUCCGGAGCCCCCUGGAGAAAUUCUGGCUUCGCCGGCCGGGGUCCCUGGCUCCUUUCGCAG
rnacentral:lncRNA from 10 species